AAAAAGAAGGGAGGUGAUGAGGACAUCAAUACCAUUGUUACACCCACAGCCCCUGCUGCUAUACAUACUGGACCAAUUACUAGAGCUCGCGCACGCCAAUUAAAUUACCAGGUACUUUUGUUUCUUGGUAAUGAUUCUAAUGUUCAUGAGAAUAUGAUGCUGCCUAAAUUGGAUACAUUUGUUUUGCUUACAAAUGAAGGGCCUAGCUUUGAGAAGGAUGAACAUUGGAGCAAGAACAAGCAUGGAGAUGAUGGCAUGCGCAUGGGGAACAAGAACGGAGUUACAAGUGAUGAUUUUAGGACGUUGAAGCCACCAUAAUGCGUGCAUGAAGCCUUGGACGAAAUAUACAAGAUGCUACUUCAUAACUUUCGUCCAGAGGCUAUUCUAGGUGCUGCGUCACCUUAUUAUUGGGCCAGGCCCAUGUAAUUUCGAAAUACAUAAGUAUAGGCUGUUUUUAGAGUCCGUAUGUGUGGGGAAACAAGAGAUAGGGUUGGUUUCGGACCCCUUCCUCAAGGGCCACGAAAUUCCCCCCCCUCUUCCUCCAUAUAUACAGCCCUUAGGGCGUCGUUUAGACUUUGGGUUUUGUUUAGAUUAAAAGUUCGCCAUAGCUGCAACUUCGCGUACUUCGUUUGUGUUCAGCGACCAGACAAAGGCGUCACAGAACUCCACCUUGAUCAAUAAAGCUUUCAUCUUAUAUUCGCAAUAUCCAGAUUGCAAUCUCAGUUUCUUGCUUGUUCUUCGUUUGCUCGCAGGAAACAAACCCUCGUGGUCAGGUUGAUCGUGCUCCGGCGUGGUCGAUAACCUCUCGGAGUUGGUUUAGCGAUUGCUAAGGCGCGACGUCCUCGCACGUUCGUAGUCGGAUCGUCAAAGUCGACUUCCACCAAAGCGAUAUCCAUCAUCUCAUCGAAAGACGGGACACCUUUGCCUCUAUCAAGUGGUAUCAGAUUUCCAGGUUGCUCGGUGAGAUUUUACAGUUUUUCGUAGUUUAGAUCGAGUCUGUUCUUCAUACCUACAGUCCACGAAAAAGCCACACAAAAAAAUUAGGGUUAGUUCAUCAUAUCCGAACCAAUCUGAGCCUUUGCAUAAUCUUUUUAGGGUUUUUGCUUUGUUGAAUUUGCGGUUGCAUCGUCGUGUCAAGUUGCUGGUCUUAGAGUCUAGUCUUUUAGAGUUUCGAGUUCUGGUCAUAAGUUGUCAGGCCGCCGCCGCACCAUCAUCAUCGCCUUGCCAUCUACCACCAUUGCUCAUCCACCACCGCUCUGAAUCCGUAUCUAUAUACCACCACCGAUCCGUAUCCAUAUACCACUACCGCUACCAUAUACCACCACCGCUGCCAUAUCCUACCGCCAUAUAUCCACCACCAAUCCGAGUUCUUUUCAUAUUCGGUUGGUUUUAGAGAUCCAUAUAUUUUCCGUUUCGUGUUUCCUUGCCUGAGUAGGUCUCGGAAAAAAAAAAGUCUGGAGACCCCCGGGCAGUUUUUAGGCCAAAAUUUCGGCAACCAAAAAUAUUUUUUCCCUAUCCUAUUUUUAGGCCACGGGUAGUGUUUUGAGACACUCGCCAUCAUAGUGAUUUUUUGUCGCACUUUUUCGUCGUCGCUGCCCUGAUUUCCGAAAAAAAUAGUCAAAAAAUUUUGUGCCCGUCCUGUCAGUUUGACCUGGGAAGAGUUUUGAGACACUCGCCAUUAUAGUGAUUUUUCGCAAAAAAAAAGAGCGCAAAAAAAAAGAGGAGCGCAAAAAAAAAGAGAGCGCAAAAAAAAGAGCGAAAAUAAAAAAAAUUCCAGAGUGUGCUUUUCCCUUGUUUACGUGCAGCGCCGUGAUUUUGUUAGUGUUCUAGGCUCGCGUCUCUAGCACGGUCUAGCCUAGGACCAGCACAGAAUCGUCGUUGAGCGUUUAUUCAACUUUGCUUCUCUGAAUUGAUUAUGGCUUACCAUUUUGCUACCAUAUUAUAAGCCUUCCCAGCUCCACAUAAGUCUACAUCGUGCGUUUGACUCUCCCUGGUAAUCGCUAUAUCUAAGCUUUGAGAGUUUUUGACUACAACGGUUGCCGAUCACCACCUGCUGCUGGGUAAGAACUGGUAAGAAUUUGAGAUUCGCUUGAAGGUUUUGUGACACACCACCAUCACCACCACUUCUAGUAGUCUGCAGGAUCAUAUUCUUUUGUGUUUCUAUUGCUGCUAACCAUGGCAGGUUCACAAGCCGAUGAGACUGAUUGGGAGAACAUGACGAACAAGGAGUUGCAUGAUAAAUUUCAGCAAAUGAUGAGUGGCCAGGUGGGAGAUGUGCUAAACAGAUUUGAAGAGGCUAUGGAGAAGAUAGAUGCCGUGGAGAAGUCGUUCGAGACAAAGCUGGAUAACAAGUUUACUGAAUUACUCAAGCGUCUUCCCCAACCACCACCGGCUGCACAUGUCGCACCUCUACAACAACAACAACCACAUCUCCAACGCCGCCUUCCAAAUCAAGUGGGACGGGCACAGCGCGUUCCAAUUGAGAUUGGUCAAAAUUCGGGUGCUGCUGCACCUACUGUUGAUGCUUCUUUGGCUCCUGCUCCUGCGGCGGCUGAGGAGGAUGAUGAUUAUGCGGGCGAUUAUGAGGAUGAGGUUGAUCAAAAUCAGAACUACGUGCAGCCACCAGCACCACCACCAGCAGGUCGACCUCAGGUAUAUAUUCGCAACGGUAGGCCGGCACCACCACCUCAGGUACGAGAUCAUGACCAUCUCCCUAAACUGAAAUUGAAUAUUCCACCAUUUGAGGGUAGAUAUGUUCCUGAUAUAUAUCUUACUUGGGAGUUAGAAACUGAACAACGAUUUACAUGUUUACAAUAUCCUGAGGAGAGACGUGUUCCUGCUGCUGUUUGUGCUUUCACUAGCUUUGCAUGUGUUUGGUGGUCUGAACAUUGUAGAUUAUAUCCUGUUCCAGCUACUUGGGCUGCUUUGAAAACUGCUAUGCGUACUCGUUGGGUUCCACCAUAUUAUCAACGUGAAUUACUUCAAAAAUUGCAGCGUUUAAGACAAGGGAAAAAUUCUGUAGAAGAAUAUUAUCAGGAAUUACAAACUAGCAUGAUUAGAUGUGGUAUUGUUGAGGAGAAUGAAGCUAUGCUUGCACGUUUUAUGGGUGGAUUAAAUAAAGAGAUUCAGACCAUUCUAGAGUAUAAGGAUUAUAAUAAUAUCACUCGUUUAUUCCAUCUUGCUUGUAAAGCUGAACGUGAAGUGCAGGAUCGACAGCCAUUGGCGCGAACUAACUUUUCUGCAGGUCGACCUUCAUCAUGGACACCGCGUGCAUCUUCUACUUCCACUUCACCAUCACCUCCAUCAGGUGCCACCUCCAGCCGUGAUACAAGAAAGCAGGCACAACCACCACUCUCUGCCAAGAGCACACCUGCCGGGCCUGCGCAGAGCUCUUCUUCUUCCAUGGCAUCGACAGGGCACACAAGUGAUAUUAUUUGUCGUCGUUGUAAGGGAAGAGGACAUUUUGCGAGAGAAUGCAAAUCUCAGCGUGUCAUGAUUGCUACUGAGGAUGGUGGGUAUGAGUCCGCUAGUGACUAUGAUGAGGAGACUUUGGCUCUUAUUACACGUGAAGAACAUGGUGGAGAUGAUUCUGAAGAUGAGACGCAAUACAUGGCUCCUGAAGACGCUGACAGGUAUGAAUGUUUAGUUGCUCAACGCGUUUUGAGUGUGCAGGUCACACAAGCAGAGCAAAAUCAGAGGCAUAAUUUGUUCCAUACAAAGGGAGUUGUGAAGGAAUGUUCUGUUCGCGUCAUCAUAGAUGGAGGGAGCUGUAACAACUUGGCUAGCAUGGAGAUGGUGGAGAAGCUAUCUCUCACCACAAGACCACAUCCACAUCCUUACUACAUCCAAUGGUUCAACAACAGCGGCAAGGUUAAGGUAACACGUACUGUUCGUGUGCAUUUUAGUAUCUCUACAUAUGCUGAUUAUGUUGAUUGUGAUGUGGUACCCAUGCAAGCAUGUUCCUUAUUACUAGGUAGACCAUGGCAAUUUGAUAAAAAUUUUGUACACCAUGGUAGAAACAAUCAGUAUACUCUUGUUCAUAAGGAUAAAAAUAUUACUUUGCUUCCUAUGACUCCUGAUUCCAUUUUGAAAGAUGACAUUAAUAGAGCUAAUAAAGCAAAACAGGAGAAAAAUAAGAGUGAAAAUCAGAUUGUGGCAAAGGAAUUUGAGCAACAAAUGAAACCUAAUAAUAAACCAUCUAGUGUUGUUUCUGAAAUUAAAUUGAAAAGUGCAUGUUUACUUGCCACAAAAUCUGAUAUUGAUGAACUAGAUUUCAGCAAAUCUGUUUGCUAUGCUUUUGUGUGCAAAGAGGCAUUAUUUUCAUUCGAGGACGUGCCUUCCUCUUUGUCCCCUGCUGUCACUAACAUUUUGCACGAGUUCGCUGACGUCUUCCCACAAGACGUGCCACCGGGAUUACCACCUAUUCGAGGGAUUGAGCAUCAAAUUGACUUAAUUCCCGGUGCAUCUCUACCCAACCGUGCACCAUACCGUACCAAUCCAGAGGAGACGAAGGAGAUUAUGCGUCAAGUACAGGAGCUGCUCGACAAAGGUUAUAUACGCGAAUCUCUUAGUCCUUGUGCUGUUCCUAUUAUACUAGUGCCUAAAAAGGAUGGUACGUCGCGUAUGUGUGUUGAUUGUAGAGGCAUUAAUAAUAUUACUAGUCGUUAUCGUCAUCCUAUUCCUAGGCUAGAUGAUAUGCUUGAUGAAUUGAGUGGCUCUACAAUAUUCUCCAAAGUUGAUUUGCGUAGUGGAUACCAUCAAAUUUGUAUGAAAUUGGGAGAUGAAUGGAAAACUGCAUUUAAAACUAAGUUUGGUUUAUAUGAGUGGUUAGUCAUGCCUUUUGGGUUAACUAAUGCACCUAGUACUUUCAUGAGACUAAUGAACGAAGUUUUACGUGCUUUCAUUGGACGAUUUGUGGUAGUCUAUUUUGAUGAUAUACUGAUUUAUAGCAAAUCUUUGGAAGAACAUUUGGAACAUUUACGUGCUGUUUUUAUUGCUCUACGUGAUGCACGUUUGUUUGGUAACCUUGGGAAGUGCACCUUUUGCACCGACCGAGUAUCUUUUCUUGGCUAUGUUGUUACUCCACAGGGAAUUGAAGUUGAUAAAGCCAAGAUUGAAGCUAUUGAGAGUUGGCCGCAGCCCAAAACGGUCACACAAGUGCGGAGUUUUCUUGGACUCGCUGGUUUCUAUAGGCGUUUUGUGAGAGAUUUUAGCACCAUUGCUGCACCUCUCAACGAGCUUACAAAGAAGGAUGUGCCUUUUGUUUGGGGUACCGCGCAGGAAGAAGCCUUCACGGUAUUGAAAGAUAAGUUGACACAUGCUCCUUUACUCCAACUUCCUGAUUUUAAUAAGACUUUUGAGCUUGAAUGUGAUGCUAGUGGAAUUGGAUUAGGAGGUGUGUUAUUACAAGAUGGCAAACCUGUUGCAUACUUUUCUGAAAAAUUGAGUGGGCCUAGUCUGAAUUAUUCUACUUAUGAUAAAGAAUUAUAUGCUCUUGUUCGGACUUUAGAAACAUGGCAACAUUAUUUAUGGCCCAAAGAAUUUGUUAUACAUUCUGAUCAUGAAUCUUUGAAACAUAUUAAAAGUCAAGCUAAACUGAAUCGUAGACAUGCUAAAUGGGUUGAAUUCAUUGAGACUUUCCCUUAUGUCAUUAAACACAAGAAGGGAAAAGAAAAUGUUAUUGCUGAUGCAUUGUCUCGUCGCUAUACUAUAUUUGGUUUGGAGACCAUCAAAGAUCAAUAUGUGCAUGAUGCUGAUUUUAAAGAUGUAAUGCAGAAUUGUAAAGAAGGAAGAAUGUGGAACAAGUUUGUUGUUAACGAUGGAUUUGUGUUUCGUGCUAACAAGCUAUGCAUUCCAGCUAGCUCCGUUCGUCUUUUGUUGUUGCAGGAGGCGCAUGGAGGAGGAUUAAUGGGACACUUUGGCGUGAAGAAGACGGAGGACGUACUUGCUACACAUUUCUUUUGGCCAAAGAUGAGACGGGAUAUUGAGCGUUUUAUUGCUCGCUGCACUACAUGUCAAAAAGCUAAGUCACGACUCAAUCCUCAUGGUUUAUAUAUGCCUUUGCCUGUACCUAGUGUUCCUUGGGAGGAUAUAUCUAUGGACUUUGUUUUAGGUUUACCUCGAACAAAGAAGGGGAGGGAUAGCAUAUUUGUUGUCGUGGAUAGAUUCUCGAAAAUGGCACACUUUAUACCAUGUCAUAAAAGCGAUGAUGCUGUUAAUGUUGCUGAUUUGUUCUUUCGUGAAAUUAUUCGCUUGCAUGGUGUGCCAAAUACUAUUGUUUCAGAUCGUGAUAUUAAAUUUCUUAGCCACUUUUGGAGAUGUUUAUGGGCUAAGUUGGGGACUAAACUGCUUUUUAGUACUACUUGUCACCCCCAAACUGAUGGCCAAACUGAAGUAGUCAAUAGAACAUUGUCUACUAUGCUUAGGGCUGUUUUGAAGAGUAAUAAGAAAAUGUGGGAGGAAUGCUUGCCUCAUAUUGAAUUUUCUUAUAAUCGUUCAUUGCAUUCUACUACUAAGAUGUGCCCUUUUGAAGUUGUGUAUGGUUUCCUACCUCGUGCACCUAUUGAUUUGUUGCCUCUUCCAUCUUCAGAGAAGGUUAAUUUUGAUGCUAAACAACGUGUUGAAUUGAUUUUAAAAAUGCAUGAGUUAACUAAGGAAAACAUUGAGCGUAUGAAUGCCAAAUAUAAACUUGCUGGAGAUAAGGGUAGAAAACAUGUUGUGUUUGCACCUGGAGAUCUUGUUUGGUUACAUUUGCGUAAGGAUAGAUUUCCUGAUUUGCGCAAAUCAAAGCUCAUGCCACAGGCUGAUGGUCUCCUUAAUCAGGAAAUCAGGAAAUCUAUCCUUACGCAAAUGUAACCAAACAAGAUCUCCAGGUGCAAACACAACAUGUUUUCUACCCUUAUCUCCAGCAAGUUUAUAUUUAGCAUUCAUACGCUCAAUGUUUUCCUUAGUUAACUCAUGCAUUUUUAAAAUCAAUUCAGCACGUUGUUUAGCAUCAAAAUUAACCUUCUCCGAAGAUGGAAGAGGCAACAAAUCAAUAGGUGCACGAGGUAGGAAACCAUACACAACUUCAAAAGGCCACAUCUUAGUAGUAGAAUGCAAUGAACGAUUAUAAGCAAAUUCAAUAUAAGGCAAGCAUUCCUCCCACAUUUUCUUAUUAUUCUUCAAAACAGCCCUAAGCAUAGUAGACAAUGUUCUAUUGACUACUUCAGUUUGUCCAUCAGUUUGGGGGUGACAAGUAGUACUAAAAAGCAGUUUAGUCCCCAACUUAGCCCAUAAACAUCUCCAAAAGUGGCUAAGAAAUUUAGUAUCACGAUCUGAAACAAUAGUAUUUGGCACACCAUGCAAGCGAAUAAUUUCACUAAAGAACAAAUCAGCAACAUUAACAGCAUCAUCGCUUUUAUGACAUGGUAUAAAGUGCGCCAUUUUCGAGAAUCUAUCCACGACAACAAAUAUGCUAUCCCUCCCCUUCUUUGUUCGAGGUAAACCUAAAACAAAGUCCAUAGAUAUAUCCUCCCAAGGAACACUAGGUACAGGCAAAGGCAUAUAUAAACCAUGAGGAUUGAGUCGUGACUUAGCUUUUUGACAUGUAGUGCAGCGAGCAACAAAACGCUCAACAUCCCGUCUCAUCUUUGGCCAAAAGAAAUGUGUAGCAAGUACGUCCUCCGUCUUCUUCACGCCAAAGUGUCCCAUUAAUCCUCCUCCAUGCGCCUCCUGCAACAACAAAAGACGAAGAGAGCUAGCUGGAAUGCAUAGCUUGUUAGCACGGAACACAAAUCCAUCAUUAACGACAAACUUGUUCCAGGUUCUUCCUUCUUGACAAUUCUGCAAUACAUCUUCAAAAUCAGCAUCAUGCACAUAUUGAUCUUUGAUGGUCUCCAAACCAAAUAUUUUGAAGUCAAGUUGUGAAAGCAUAGUAUAGCGACGAGACAAUGCAUCAGCAAUAACAUUUUCUUUACCCUUCUUGUGUUUAAUGACAUAAGGGAAAGUUUCAAUGAAUUCAACCCAUUUAGCAUGUCUACGAUCCAGUUUAGCUUGACUUUUAAUAUGUUUCAAAGAUUCAUGAUCAGAAUGUAUAACAAAUUCUUUGGGCCAUAAAUAAUGUUGCCAUGUUUCUAAAGUCCGAACAAGAGCAUAUAGUUCUUUAUCAUAAGUAGAAUAAUUCAGACUAGGCCCACUCAAUUUUUCAGAAAAGUAUGCAACAGGUUUGCCAUCUUGUAAUAACACACCUCCUAAUCCAAUGCCACUAGCAUCACAUUCAAGCUCAAAAGUCUUAUUAAAAUCAGGAAGUUGGAGUAAAGGAGCAUGUGUCAACUUAUCUUUCAAUACCGUGAAGGCUUCUUCCUGUGCGGUACCCCAAACAAAAGGCACAUCCUUCUUUGUAAGCCCGUUGAGAGGUGCAGCAAUGGUGCUAAAAUCUCUCACAAAACGCCUAUAGAAACCAGCGAGUCCAAGAAAACUCCGCACUUGUGUGACCGUUUUGGGCUGCGGCCAACUCUCAAUAGCUUCAAUCUUGGCUUUAUCAACUUCAAUUCCCUGUGGAGUAACAACAUAGCCAAGAAAAGAUACUCGGUCGGUGCAAAAGGUGCACUUCCCAAGGUUACCAAACAAACGUGCAUCACGUAGAGCAAUAAAAACAGCACGUAAAUGUUCCAAAUGUUCUUCCAAAGAUUUGCUAUAAAUCAGUAUAUCAUCAAAAUAGACCACCACAAAUCGUCCAAUGAAAGCACGUAAAACUUCGUUCAUUAGUCUCAUGAAAGUACUAGGUGCAUUAGUUAACCCAAAAGGCAUGACUAACCACUCAUAUAAACCAAACUUAGUUUUAAAUGCAGUUUUCCAUUCAUCUCCCAAUUUCAUACGAAUUUGAUGGUAUCCACUACGCAAAUUGAGUGGGCCUAGUCUGAAUUAUUCUACUUAUGAUAAAGAACUAUAUGCUCUUGUUCGGACUUUAGAAACAUGGCAACAUUAUUUAUGGCCCAAAGAAUUUGUUAUACAUUCUGAUCAUGAAUCUUUGAAACAUAUUAAAAGUCAAGCUAAACUGAAUCGUAGACAUGCUAAAUGGGUUGAAUUCAUUGAAACUUUCCCUUAUGUCAUUAAACACAAGAAGGGUAAAGAAAAUGUUAUUGCUGAUGCAUUGUCUCGUCGCUAUACUAUGCUUUCACAACUUGACUUCAAAAUAUUUGGUUUGGAGACCAUCAAAGAUCAAUAUGUGCAUGAUGCUGAUUUUAAAGAUGUAUUGCAGAAUUGUAAAGAAGGAAGAACCUGGAACAAGUUUGUCGUUAAUGAUGGAUUUGUGUUCCGUGCUAACAAGCUAUGCAUUCCAGCUAGCUCUCUUCGUCUUUUGUUGUUGCAGGAGGCGCAUGGAGGAGGAUUAAUGGGACACUUUGGCGUGAAGAAGACGGAGGACGUACUUGCUACACAUUUCUUUUGGCCAAAGAUGAGAUGGGAUGUUGAGCGUUUUGUUGCUCGCUGCACUACAUGUCAAAAAGCUAAGUCAUGACUCAAUCCUCAUGGUUUAUAUAUGCCUUUGCCUGUACCUAGUGUUCCUUGGGAGGAUAUAUCUAUGGACUUUGUUUUAGGUUUACCUCGAACAAAGAAGGGGAGGGAUAGCAUAUUUGUUCUCGUGGAUAGAUUCUCGAAAAUGGCACACUUUAUACCAUGUCAUAAAAGCGAUGAUGCUGUUAAUGUUGCUGAUUUGUUCUUUCGUGAAAUUAUUCGCUUGCAUGGUGUGCCAAAUACUAUUGUUUCCGAUCGUGAUACUAAAUUUCUUAGCCACUUUUGGAGAUGUUUAUGGGCUAAGUUGGGGACUAAACUGCUUUUUAGUACUACUUGUCACCCCCAAACUGAUGGACAAACUGAAGUAGUCAAUAGAACAUUGUCUACUAUGCUUAGGGCUGUUUUGAAGAAUAAUAAGAAAAUGUGGGAAGAAUGCUUGCCUCAUAUUGAGUUUGCUUAUAAUCGUUCAUUGCAUUCUACUACUAAGAUGUGCUCUUUUGAAAUUGUGUAUGGUUUCCUACCUCGUGCACCUAUUGAUUUGUUGCCUCUUCCAUCUUCGGAGAAGGUUAAUUUUGAUGCUAAACAACGUGCUGAAUUGAUCUUAAAAAUGCAUGAGUUAACUAAGGAAAACAUUGAGCGUAUGAAUGCUAAAUAUAAACUUGCUGGAGAUAAGGGUAGAAAACAUGUUGUGUUUGCACCUGGAGAUCUUGUUUGGUUACAUUUACGUAAGGAUAGAUUUCCUGAUUUGCGCAAAUCAAAGCUAAUGCCAUGUGCUGAUGGUCCUUUUAAGGUGUUAGAGAAAAUAAAUGAUAAUGCAUAUAAACUUGAGCUGCCUGCAGAUUUUGGGGUUAGUCCCACUUUUAACAUUGCAGAUUUGAAGCCUUAUUUGGGUGAGGAAGAUAAGCUUCCGUCGAGGACGACUUCAUUUCAAGAAGGGGAGGAUGAUGAGGACAUCAAUACCAUUGUUACACCCACAGCCCCUGCUGCUAUACAUACUGGACCAAUUACUAGAGCUCGCGCACGCCAAUUAAAUUACCAGGUACUUUCGUUUCUUGGUAAUGAUUCUAAUGUUCAUGAGAAUAUGAUGCUGCCUAAAUUGGAUACAUUUGUUUUGCUUACAAAUGAAGGGCCUAGCUUUGAGAAGGAUGAACAUUGGAGCAAGAACAAGCAUGGAGAUGAUGGCAUGCGCAUGGGGAACAAGAACGGAGUUACAAGUGAUGAUUUUAGGACGUUGAAGCCACCAUAAUGCGUGCAUGAAGCCUUGGACGAAAUAUACAAGAUGCUACUUCAUAACUUUCGUCCAGAGGCUAUUCUAGGUGCUGCGUCACCUUAUUAUUGGGCCAGGCCCAUGUAAUUUCGAAAUACAUAAGUAUAGGCUGUUUUUAGAGUCCGUAUGUGUGGGGAAACAAGAGAUAGGGUUGGUUUCGGACCCCUUCCUCAAGGGCCACGAAAUUCCCCCCUCUUCCUCCAUAUAUACAGCCCUUAGGGCGUCGUUUAGACUUUGGGUUUUGUUUAGAUUAAAAAUUCGCCAUAGCUGCAACUUCGCGUACUUCGUUUGUGUUCAGCGACCAGACAAAGGCGUCACAGAACUCCACCUUGAUCAAUAAAGCUUUCAUCUUAUAUUCGCAAUAUCCAGAUUGCAAUCUCAGUUUCUUGCUUGUUCUUCGUUUGCUCGCAGGAAACAGACCCUCGUGGUCAGGUUGAUCGUGCUCCGGCGUGGUCGAUAACCUCUCGGAGUUGGUUUAGCGAUUGCUAAGGCGCGACGUCCUCGCACGUUCGUAGUCGGAUCGUCAAAGUCGACUUCCACCAAAGCGAUAUCCAUCAUCUCAUCGAAAGACGGGACACCUUUGCCUCUAUCAGGAGGAGUACAUAAAAUUUUGUUUCUCACCUUACAAGGAAAGUCAACCUUCGGAUAUUACUAGUACUGGUUCAAUUGGAAGUUAUGAUAUACUAGUAGUUUUGAGGGGAACACAAUAGUUCAAUCACGUCAUAUUGAUUCUGUUGUGCAGAUCUUGUUGGUUUGAGUGGUUGAGGACAGAAUAUUUUUGAAAGGAGGAGGCGACUCACGUGACUUGUUUAGGAAGAAGAUUUCGAAGGAAUAAAGAAAAGAGUGGUAGCAUGCAGAUAUUUUAAGGCAACCACGUGAAGCGUGUCUUGUUUUCCUCUUGGGUAGUAAGAUCUAGUCCUUCACGUGGAAGGACUUCUACUUGUGACGUUGAGAUAAUUAAAAAAAAAGCUGUUCGGUUUGGAGUCCUUGCCAUUCACGUUUUUGGAAACCAAGUAAAAAAAGGGAAGGAAAGGAAACAAAAGAGGAAGUAGUACUAUAGUUGGCUGAUUCGGUUGGUGGUUUCCAAGUUUUGGAAUUUCCUUGGUGAAAAUAAAGGAGAAAAAGAGCAGCCAUCUUGGAGAAAAAAAGGCAAGUCGGAUCAGAUCCGGGCACAUUUAUUGAAAAAAAAGAGAAGAAGAAUUAUAAGAAAGAGUAGAGGAGAAUAAGGAAGGAGAUUGGAAAAAGGAAAGUCCAGCGUUGAUCUGCUUCCUAGUUGGACGAAAAUUUGUGUUUGUUGCGGAAAGUUUGUUACGUAUCACAAGGAAACAAGUGAAAAAAAGGCAAGUGUUAAUCGGUUUGGUUGGUGGCCGUUUUAUUGGGCAAUUUCUGUGAAAAAAAGGAAAGGAGGAAAUAAAUCUGCACGUAAAUCAAGGAUAGGUGGUUGUUUCCACGUUUCGAAGAAGAAAAUAAGGAAAGCUGCGGAUCUGUUUUUUUACGUAGGAUUUUGUGCUAUUUGGAAGGAAGCAUUUGACGAAAAAAACAGGCAAUUGACGUUUGGCAUCUAGCUGAUUUUGUGGGACGGUUGCUCGGGCGUUUUGACUGGAAAAAAAAGUAAGAGAAGGUAAGUGCACGUGCUUUUGCCUAGGGCCUCAUGAUAAAAAAAAAUCUCUUGGCUGAUUCGGUUGUCUUUCCCAUGAAAAAAAAAGAAAACAGCCCGUGUAGUUUUUCUUUGGAGAGAGAGAAAAGUGCAGCGGUUGACUUGAUCCCUU
rnacentral:lncRNA from 1 species